UACGUAGGGUGCAAGCGUUAAUCGGAAUUACUGGGCGUAAAGCGUGCGCAGGCGGUUUUGUGAGUCUGAUGUGAAAUCCCCGGGCUCAACCUGGGAAUUGCAUUGGAGACUGCAAGGCUAGAGUGUGUCAGAGGGGGGUAGAAUUCCACGUGUAGCAGUGAAAUGCGUAGAUAUGUGGAGGAACACCGAUGGCGAAGGCAGCCCCCUGGGAUAACACUGACGCUCAUGCACGAAAGCGUGGGGAGCAAACAGG
rnacentral:rRNA from 1 species